AUGUUUGCGUAAUCGCUAUAAAUACUAAGUAUUUAUAGAGGAAAGUCCAUGCUCGCACAGGCUGAGAUGCUUGUAGUGUUCGUGCUUGAUGAAUUCAUAAAUCAAGGCAGUUGUUAAUCAACUGACGGCAGGAUCAUUAGCUAAGUCUUUUUAUAGAUAUGCAAUUGAUCCAUAAAAGUGCCACAGUGACGUAGCUAAAUUGGAAACGAUUUAGGUGGAACGGGUAAACCCCACGAGCGAGCAACCCAAAUUAUGGUAGGGGCAUCUUGGAUUAGGGAAAUGAACCGAAACAAGGACGGAUCAUGUGAGAAUGAUUCCGUAGAUAGAUGAUUACGACUAACUGUACAAGGUUGACCACCGUAAUAGUACGUUAGUACAGAACAUGGCUUAUAAAACAU
rnacentral:RNase_P_RNA from 1 species